rnacentral:rRNA from 1 species
CCUAUGGAGGCUGCAGUGAGGAAUAUUGGUCAAUGGACGAGAGUCUGAACCAGCCAAGUAGCGUGAAGGAUGACUGCCCUAUGGGUUGUAAACUUCUUUUAUAUGGGAAUAAAAUGUUCCACGUGUGGGAUUUUGUAUGUACCAUAUGAAUAAGGAUCGGCUAACUCCGUGCCAGCAGCCGCGGUAAUACGGAGGAUCCGAGCGUUAUCCGGAUUUAUUGGGUUUAAAGGGAGCGUAGGUGGAUUGUUAAGUCAGUUGUGAAAGUUUGCGGCUCAACCGUAAAAUUGCAGUUGAAACUGGCAGUCUUGAGUACAGUAGAGGUGGGCGGAAUGCGUGGUGUAGCGGGGAAAUGCUUAGAUAUCACGAAGAACUCCGAUUGCGAAGGCAGUUCACUGGACUGCAACUGACACUGAGGCUCGAAAGUGUGGGUAUCAAACAGGAUUAGAUACCCUAGUAGUC